rnacentral:rRNA from 1 species
GUGGGGAAUCUUGCGCAAUGGGCGAAAGCCUGACGCAGCCAUGCCGCGUGAAUGAUGAAGGUCUUAGGAUUGUAAAAUUCUUUCACCGGGGACGAUAAUGACGGUACCCGGAGAAGAAGCUCCGGCUAACUUCGUGCCAGCAGCCGCGGUAAUACGAAGGGGGCUAGCGUUGCUCGGAAUUACUGGGCGUAAAGGGCGCGUAGGCGGACAGCUUAGUCAGAGGUGAAAGCCCAGGGCUCAACCUUGGAAUUGCCUUUGAGACUGGCUGUCUUGAGUUUGGGAGAGGUGGGUGGAACUCCGAGUGUAGAGGUGAAAUUCGUAGAUAUUCGGAAGAACACCAGUGGCGAAGGCGACUCACUGACCCAAUACUGACGCUGAGGCGCGAAAGCGUGGGGAGCAAACAGGAUUAGAUACCCUGGUAGUCC